rnacentral:misc_RNA from 1 species
AAGAUUAAUACUAUUUUCAUUCUCUAAUACUUUUUGGGUUUAACCAUUACUAUGCCAAGGCAAGGCUAAGAAGAAAGGAUUCCAAGAUCUUAGCCAAGCAAGACAGUCAUGCUAAAAAUACAAUAAAUACAAGUGGGGGUACCCAUUCAUCCACCUGAAAGAAGGUAUAGAAAAGAGUAUAGAAAAAUAGGUUAGCUAGACAACUUUAUCAUUAAACAAAUCUUUCAUGGAGACUCAUGCGCCUCACUCUUCCUCAGCAAAUUCCGGAGAAACUGUGUUGCCAUCACAGACAGCUAGCAGUACUAAGGAAUAUCAUAUCGUCAGCGACUAUUGAAAAGUUUGCAUCUCAUUUAAUUCAGUAUGCACCCAGAUGAACCAGAGAGAGCUUUCAAUUAGAUAAGAUUGGUUCAGAAGCAUACUUUCUCCUAUUAGAGCACCAUGUACAUAUCUCACAUUCUAA